AUGGAGACCGGGGGUAGCAAGCGGGAAGGAGACUGCCCCGGGCAGGAAAGGAAGAAGAAAGUGCGCAGGAGAAGCACUGGUCCUGAUUCGGUUGCUGAAACCAUCAAGAAGUGGAAGGAGGAAAACCAGAAGCUCCAGCAAGAGAAUGGAUCCCGGAAAGCACCGGCCAAGGGUUCCAAGAAAGGGUGCAUGGCAGGGAAAGGAGGUCCAGAGAAUUCAAACUGCGCUUACCGCGGUGUGAGGCAGAGGACGUGGGGGAAAUGGGUUGCUGAGAUCCGUGAGCCCAACCGUGGCAAUCGGCUGUGGCUUGGUUCAUUCCCUACCGCAGUCGAAGCUGCACGUGCAUAUGAUGAUGCGGCAAGGGCAAUGUAUGGCGCCAAAGCACGUGUCAACUUCUCAGAGCAGUCCCCGGAUGCCAACUCUGGUUGCACGCUGGCACCUCCAUUGCCGAUGUCUAAUGGGGCAACCGCUGCGUCACAUCCUUCUGAUGGGAAGGAUGAAUCGGAGUCUCCUCCUUCUCUUAUCUCAAAUGCGCCGACAGCUGCGCUGCAUCGGUCUGAUGCUAAGGAUGAGUCUGAGUCUGCAGGGACCGUGGCACGUAAGGUGAAAAAAGAAGUGAGCAAUGAUUUGAGAAGUACCCAUGAGGAGCACAAGACCCUGGAAGUAUCCCAACCAAAAGGGAAGGCUUUACAUAAAGCAGCGAACGUGCAGCCACACAGACUUACUGAUUUGUGCCCACAAAACAGACUGGCUGAAAGCAGCCUUGCAGUGGAAGACAGAGGUCAAUCCACUGGCCAUUCAAGACGAAGUGGUUCAUCAUCGUUAAGAAGUGAGCCAUUUCCAACUAUUUAUUCCGAACAGGUUAAGCAAUGCCCAGUUCAGAAACUUCAGAGACUGCCAGAUGGGUGCCAUCCUGAUUUUGACAAUGACCAUUUAUAUUGUGUCAACAAGCUCCUGGAGUCCUGGUCUAAAUCUCACGGCUCUGUUCUUGUUGAUGAUAAGGAACAUAUAUUAAAGACCAUCUUAUUCACAAUGGUUGUGUUAGCUGAUGCUCGCCAACCUUUUCUGAUUGUCACUACUACCGCUUCUCUCUCCUUAUGGGAGGUUCAGUUCAAUAAAUUAGCACCACAUAUCAAUGUUGUUGUGCAUGAUGGGCGGAAAGACAUGCUCAAGUCGAUUCAAGCUCAGCAGUUCUACGAGAACGGAAGCCACAUAACGUCACAAGUUCUCUUAUCCCAUCCUGAGGCUAUCUUAGAGGACAUUGAGCCUAUUGCGCGUAUUGGUUGGGAGGCAAUCAUAGUUGAUUAUUAUCAACACUUGGCUCUAAAAUAUCUGGAACAGCUGAAGCAACUUUGUACUGGUUUUAGAGUGUUGCUUGUGAGCUCCCCAAUUGAGGAUAUCCCUGAGUACAUGAACAUGCUAGCUUUCCUUAAAUCGGGACAGAAAGAUAAUAGCGGCUAUGUUGACACUGCUGAUGCCCUUGAGAUGUUAAAAAGAAGAUUUGCACAUCAUAUUGCAUAUGAGCGCAAAGCAGAUUCUUCAAAAUUUCUAGAGCACUGGGUUCCUGCUUACAUUUCACAAGUGCAGCUAGGUGUCUAUUGUUCCAUUCUGCUUUCAAAUUCAUCUGUCCUCCAGUCUAAGAAGAAAGCUAAUAGUGUUGAAGCUCUUCGGGACAUUCUCUUGUCUCUCUCAGAGUGCUGUAAUCACCCUUACCUCCGUGAAUGUCUGGAAGCUUCACCUGUCAACAAUCCCGAUAUGACCGAAACAGUAGAUAUUGGAGUGCACGCAAGCGGCAAGCUACUACUUCUUGACAAAAUGCUUAAAGAGAUCAGCAACAGGAGGUUGAGAGUCAUUGUUCUUUUUCAGUCUGGUGGAGCAGGUGCAAACCCAAUGGGUGACAUUCUGGAAGGUGUUGUGUGUCACAGAUUUGGCCCCGAGUCUUAUGAACGUGUCAAAUGUGGUGCGGUGAUGUCAAGUAAACAGGCGGCAAUUGAUAUGUUCAAUGACAAGACCAAGGGAAGAUUUGUUUUACUGAUUGAAAGUCGUGCAUGCCUCCCAAGCAUUAAGCUACUAUCAGUUGAUGCAGUCAUCAUAUAUAGCAGCGACUGGAACCCAUCUAAUGACCUGAAAGCUCUUCAAAGAAUCAACAUAGAGUCACAACUUAAGUAUGUGAGCAUUUUCCGAUUGUAUACUCCUUUCACAGUGGAGGAGAACAACUUUCUGCUUGCAAAGCAGGGCAGGCUUAUUGAUAGCAACAUCCAGGAUGUAAUGCACAGUUCAAGCCAUUCCUUGCUCAGUUGGGGUGCACAAUUUCUAUUCACCAGAUUUGAUGAGCUUCUGCAAGAUAGGUAUUCAAGUAAGCAUUCUGAAAGGGGCACCAAUUUUAUGGAUGAAGUGAUUUUAGAGUUCUUAACAAAAUUACCCACAAAUACAGAAGACAGCUCCAAAAUAAACAGUGUGUACAUAUCGAAAGCUAAUAUGAGUGGGGAGUUUUAUUCAAGAAGCAUUACUGUAAUUGGUGAAAAGGAGGGAAUGUCUAUGCUGGAUGGGGAUCCAUCUGUAUUUUGGUUAGAUUUACUGGAUGGAAAAUCUCCUUGUUGGAGCUAUAUAUCUGAGCUAACACAAUCAAUCAAUAGAAUGCUACAGAACAUAGAAGAACCAGCCCAAGUUGCUGCUGAAGAAACUGAUGAAGCUACCAAUGUGUCAGUCACACAGCAAAGAGAAUGUCAUGUGUCUGUCACACAGCAAAGAGAAUGCCAUGUGUCAGUUGAUGUAUUUCCCAACAUGGCUGUGGAGAGAAGAAUUGAUUUAGUGGAUGAUGUUUUCCCUUUUGGAGAAAAUAAUAUCCUUCAUAAACAACAAGCUGAGAUAUCAAAUUUAGUGACGCACUCACAGAAUAAACAAAUCCUGAGAAUUGGAGCAACUCAGAUAUGUGGAUCGAGCAUGCAUAUGCAACAAUUGAGAAAUCUGCCUGCCCAACAAAGUUUAGCAACCUUGCCCCAUCCACCUGCAGAAGCAGAGCCAGCAGGUAUUCCUGGCAUGGAGGCCAUGACAUGUUUACAGUCAAUGCAGUAUCAACCUACAGAGGCAGAAUGGGGAGGUAUACUGGGCGCAUUAGCAGCCCACGGUUCGCAGCCUGAAAUGCAACCAUCAACCUCAAUGCAGGAUGUUUUAUUUGAAAAGACUGAUCUGUCUGGCAUGCCUUUGCUAGGAAGUAUGAAUGCUCGUCAAAGUGUAGAACCUUCAUGGGAUCUGCACGCAGGAGAAGAACCAGCAUGCACUUUGGGCAUGGUGACAACUGAUAAGCUGCAGUCUGAAAUACAACAAUCAGCCACAGUACAUGAUCGGCCUGCAGAAGCAGAAGGAACAAGUACAUUGGGCACCAGGGCACUUCAGAAUUUGCACCCUGAAAUGCAAUCAUCAACCGCAAUGCAUCAUGUCCCUCUUGAAAGAGCACACUCUGAAGGCAGGAGCCAAACAGGAUUUCAGCCAAAUACAUCACCUGGUCCUGAGCAGCUCAGCCAACUCCUUUUUUUCGAGGAAGAGCUCAACCAAGUCCUAUCUGCUAGUGACCAGCCACUGGAAGAUAUGUCGGAAAUGUACAAACAUCACAUCAAUUUGCUUAGAGAAGCCCAUGAACAGAAGAAAUCACAACUUCAAAUAGAGUGUUACCGAGAAAUAGAAAAGGUGAACAGAAAGUAUUACUCAUUACUCCAAAAAGAAGAUCCCACUUUACUUCACAGCCAGAUGGGACUUGUUGAUAGCUACAAGGAAGCUUCUGUAAACAAAUCACCAGCUCAAGAUUUUCUAGGGGAAGUUGCACCAUCAUCUGCAGCUCAAGGGACAUCUGAGAGGCCUGCAAUGGUGCUGCCACCUAAGUCUUCACCAGCUCAAACCACAGCAUCACCAGGUGCCCCGCCAUACGACCACCAGUGA
rnacentral:rRNA from 1 species